rnacentral:rRNA from 1 species
GACGAACGCUGGCGGCGUGCUUAACACAUGCAAGUCGUACGGUAAGGCCCUUUCGGGGGUCCACGAGUGGCGAACGGGUGAGUAACACGUGAGUAACCUGCCCACAACUUUGGGAUAACGCUAGGAAACUGGUGCUAAUACUGGAUAUGUGCUCCUGCUGCAUGGUGGGGGUUGGAAAGCUCCGGCGGUUGUGGAUGGACUCGCGGCCUAUCAGCUUGUUGGUGGGGUAGUGGCCUACCAAGGCGGCGACGGGUAGCCGGCCUGAGAGGGUGACCGGCCACAUUGGGACUGAGAUACGGCCCAGACUCCUACGGGAGGCAGCAGUGGGGAAUAUUGCACAAUGGGCGCAAGCCUGAUGCAGCAACGCCGCGUGCGGGAUGACGGCCUUCGGGUUGUAAACCGCUAUCAGCAGGGACGAAGCUUUUUGUGACGGUACCUGCAGAAGAAGCACCGGCUAACUACGUG